UUUUUGUUAAUAAUUUAAAGUCUAAUCUGCCCACUGAUAAAGUAUUAAAGGGCUGCAGUAUUUUGACUGUACAAAGGUAGCAUAAUCAUUAGUCUCUUAAUUGGUGACUUGUAUGAAAGAUUGGAUGAAAUAUAUACUGUCUCUAUUUAAUUAAUAAAAUUUAAUUUUUUAGUAAAAAAGCUAAAAUAAUUUUAAAAGACGAGAAGACCCUAUAGAGUUUUAUAAUUUAUUUAAUUAUUAUUAAUAUAUUAAUUAUUUAAAUUAAAAUUAAUUAAAUUAUUUUAUUGGGGUGAUAAAAAAAUUAAAUUAACUUUUUUUAAUAUUUUACAUUGAUUUAUGAAUAUUUGAUCCAUUUAUAGUGAUUAAAAGAAAAAAUUACCUUAGGGAUAACAGCGUAAUUUUUUUUUUUAGUUCAAAUAGGAAAAAAAGUUUGCGACCUCGAUGUUGGAUUAAGAUAAAAUUUAAAUGCAAAAGUUUAAAAUUUUGAUCUGUUCGAUCAUUAAAAUCUU
rnacentral:rRNA from 1 species